AGAGUUUGAUCAUGGCUCAGGAUGAACGCUAGCGGCAGGCUUAAUACAUGCAAGUCGAGGGGCAGCGGGGGUAGCAAUACCUGCCGGCGACCGGCAAACGGGUGCGGAACACGUACACAACCUUCCUAUAAGUGGGGGAUAGCCCAGAGAAAUUUGGAUUAAUACCCCGUAAUAUUAAUAGAUGGCAUCAUUUGUUAAUUAAAGCUCCGGCGCUUAGAGAUGGGUGUGCGUCUGAUUAGGUAGUUGGCGGGGUAACGGCCCACCAAGCCUUCGAUCAGUAACUGGUGUGAGAGCACGACCAGUCACACGGGCACUGAGACACGGGCCCGACUCCUACGGGAGGCAGCAGUAAGGAAUAUUGGUCAAUGGACGCAAGUCUGAACCAGCCAUGCCGCGUGGAGGAUGAAGGUCCUCUGGAUUGUAAACUUCUUUUAUCUGGGAAGAAAUGCAUUUUUUCUAAAGUGUUUGACGGUACCAGAUGAAUAAGCACCGGCUAACUCCGUGCCAGCAGCCGCGGUAAUACGGAGGGUGCAAGCGUUAUCCGGAUUCACUGGGUUUAAAGGGUGCGUAGGUGGGCAGGUAAGUCAGUGGUGAAAUCUCCGGGCUUAACCCGGAAACUGCCAUUGAUACUAUCAGUCUUGAAUACCGUGGAGGUAAGCGGAAUAUGUCAUGUAGCGGUGAAAUGCUUAGAUAUGACAUAGAACACCAAUUGCGAAGGCAGCUUACUACCCGAAUAUUGACACUGAGGCACGAAAGCGUGGGGAUCAAACAGGAUUAGAUACCCUAGUAGUCC
rnacentral:rRNA from 1 species